CGUAGGGUGCGAGCGUUAAUCGGAAUUACUGGGCGUAAAGCGUGCGCAGGCGGUUAUGUAAGACAGAUGUGAAAUCCCCGGGCUCAACCUGGGAACUGCAUUUGUGACUGCAUGGCUAGAGUACGGUAGAGGGGGAUGGAAUUCCGCGUGUAGCAGUGAAAUGCGUAGAUAUGCGGAGGAACACCGAUGGCGAAGGCAAUCCCCUGGACCUGUACUGACGCUCAUGCACGAAAGCGUGGGGAGCAAACAGGAUUAGAUACCCUGGUAGUCCACGCCCUAAACGAUGUCAACUGGUUGUUGGGAAUUAGUUUCUCAGUAACGAAGCUAACGCGUGAAGUUGACCGCCUGGGGAGUACGGCCGCAAGGUUG
rnacentral:rRNA from 1 species